rnacentral:rRNA from 1 species
UACAUGGGGUGCAAACGUUGCUCGGAAUUAUUGGGCGUAAAGCGCGCGUAGGCGGUUACUCAAGUCGGAUGUGAAAGCCCUCGGCUUAACUGAGGAAGUGCACCCGAAACUGAGUAGCUAGAGUACUAAAGAGGGUCGCGGAAUUCCCGGUGUAGAGGUGAAAUUCGUAGAUAUCGGGAGGAACACCGGUGGCGAAGGCGGCGACCUGGGUAGAUACUGACGCUGAGGCGCGAAAGCGUGGGGAUCAAACAGG